rnacentral:snRNA from 2 species
GUGCUCGCUUCAGUAGCACAUACUCCAAAACUGGAGCCAUAUACAGAAGAUUAGCAUGGUUUGGCUCCUGCGCAAGAAUGACACUCAAAUUCAUUAAGUGUUCUGUAUUAAA